rnacentral:lncRNA from 1 species
CAGCUGGACUCAGUUUAGAUGAUCCCAAAUUUGUUGGCAGCAUCCAAAGCAUCAUAGUCAGAAGCAAGUCGAACAUAUGCCUCUUCUUUCCUUCAGGGCUGAUCAGGGCUGCUCAGGCUCUAUGUCAGUGUCAUAGAGCUUCUUCACAGCCUGUUUAAUCUGGUGCAUGCCUGUUGGCCUUGACAUACACAAUGAACACAAGUGUUUGUUGUCUUCUAUUUUCUUCAUGGCUGAUUUUGCAAUCAGGGGGAACUUGAUGAUGGCAUAGUGGUCGAGCUUAUUUCUCCUCUGGGUGCUCUUUUAAGGAUAUCUGGGCUGCCUUUGGAGACAUAGUGUAGGGCCAUGAGAAGGGAGGUGACAUGCAGGUCUUCUUCUUAUUUUAUUUUAUUUUAUUUUAUUUGUAUUUUUUGUGGUUCUGGACACCUUUCUGUACCAUCUUCUUGCUUUGGCUUUGGGGUUAACUCUGGGAGGGGCAGGGGCUUCCUUCUUCACUUUUGGUGCCAUCUU